rnacentral:misc_RNA from 1 species
UCCAAGUGUCCAGUCCUAAGAUUUAUACCUCAGACAAUACCGUGACAUAGUGGCCAAGCCUUUAAAAACAACAGAUGGCUUGGUUACCUAUUACCAGAUGACUUACUCCAUUGUUUCACUUGGAACUUCCGCUGAAUUAUUACAUGCGCUUGAGAUGAAUGUACAUCGGAAGAGCACUGAAUUGCCAUUCCUCCAUUACAUGCUUGAAUGUUAUCUGGAAAUCUGUCGAAACGAAGGAAUGACCGACUCCUUUCCUUGAACAUGACCGAGGUUUCCAUGCCAGGUGAGCAGUACAUUUUCCUAUCUGAUUGCCAAUCCCGAAAAAUCUGCGCACGUCACUCCUGCCAAGGUAGAGAAGGAUCCAUGUUGAGGAUGGACUAUGUCUUCUCUACAAUGGAUAUAAUAGGCCAUUUUACAGUGGUGUACUUA